rnacentral:rRNA from 1 species
UACGUAGGGCGCAAGCGUUGUCCGGAAUUAUUGGGCGUAAAGAGCUCGUAGGCGGCUUGUCACGUCGAUUGUGAAAGCCCGAGGCUUAACCUCGGGUCUGCAGUCGAUACGGGCUAGCUAGAGUGUGGUAGGGGAGAUCGGAAUUCCUGGUGUAGCGGUGAAAUGCACAGAUAUCAGGAGGAACACCGGUGGCGAAGGCGGGACUCUGGGCCGAUACUGACGCUGAGGAGCGAAAGCGUGGGGAGCAAACAGG